ACGAACUCUGGUAUUGAUUGGUGCUUGCAUCAUGAUUUACAUUUGAGUGAGUGGCGAACUGGUGAGUAACACGUGGGAAACCUGCCCAGAAGCGGGGGAUAACACCUGGAAACAGAUGCUAAUACCGCAUAACAACUUGGACCGCAUGGUCCGAGCUUGAAAGAUGGCUUCGGCUAUCACUUUUGGAUGGUCCCGCGGCGUAUUAGCUAGAUGGUGGGGUAACGGCUCACCAUGGCAAUGAUACGUAGCCGACCUGAGAGGGUAAUCGGCCACAUUGGGACUGAGACACGGCCCAAACUCCUACGGGAGGCAGCAGUAGGGAAUCUUCCACAAUGGACGAAAGUCUGAUGGAGCAACGCCGCGUGAGUGAAGAAGGGUUUCGGCUCGUAAAACUCUGUUGUUAAAGAAGAACAUAUCUGAGAGUAACUGUUCAGGUAUUGACGGUAUUUAACCAGAAAGCCACGGCUAACUACGUGCCAGCAGCCGCGGUAAUACGUAGGUGGCAAGCGUUGUCCGGAUUUAUUGGGCGUAAAGCGAGCGCAGGCGGUUUUUUAAGUCUGAUGUGAAAGCCUUCGGCUCAACCGAAGAAGUGCAUCGGAAACUGGGAAACUUGAGUGCAGAAGAGGACAGUGGAACUCCAUGUGUAGCGGUGAAAUGCGUAGAUAUAUGGAAGAACACCAGUGGCGAAGGCGGCUGUCUGGUCUGUAACUGACGCUGAGGCUCGAAAGUAUGGGUAGCAAACAGGAUUAGAUACCCUGGUAGUCCAUACCGUAAACGAUGAAUGCUAAGUGUUGGAGGGUUUCCGCCCUUCAGUGCUGCAGCUAACGCAUUAAGCAUUCCGCCUGGGGAGUACGGCCGCAAGGCUGAAACUCAAAGGAAUUGACGGGGGCCCGCACAAGCGGUGGAGCAUGUGGUUUAAUUCGAAGCUACGCGAAGAACCUUACCAGGUCUUGACAUACUAUGCAAAUCUAAGAGAUUAGACGUUCCCUUCGGGGACAUGGAUACAGGUGGUGCAUGGUUGUCGUCAGCUCGUGUCGUGAGAUGUUGGGUUAAGUCCCGCAACGAGCGCAACCCUUAUUAUCAGUUGCCAGCAUUAAGUUGGGCACUCUGGUGAGACUGCCGGUGACAAACCGGAGGAAGGUGGGGAUGACGUCAAAUCAUCAUGCCCCUUAUGACCUGGGCUACACACGUGCUACAAUGGAUGGUACAACGAGUUGCGAACUCGCGAGAGUAAGCUAAUCUCUUAAAGCCAUUCUCAGUUCGGAUUGUAGGCUGCAACUCGCCUACAUGAAGUCGGAAUCGCUAGUAAUCGCGGAUCAGCAUGCCGCGGUGAAUACGUUCCCGGGCCUUGUACACACCGCCCGUCACACCAUGAGAGUUUGUAACACCCAAAGUCGGUGGG
rnacentral:rRNA from 1 species